CAUCUUUCACAAGCUUUGCAUUUGUUGGUUGAUCUGACCAUUGUGGCAUUGCCACCAUUGGCACUCCCAAACUAAUCGCUUCCAGUGUCGAAUUCCAUCCACAGUGCGUCAGAAAACACCCUAUCGACUCAUGUUCCAACACUUGUAAUUGUGGACACCAUGACACCACUAAGCCUUUUUCACUUGUUAAUUCCUCAAUAAAGUUGUUGGGGAGUUUGGGCUCUUCAGUAGACCUAACAACCCACAAGAAGCUCUUGUUGCUAUUCUUCAAACCCCAUGCCAAUUCUUCCAUUUGCUCACUUCCUAGUUUGGCUAAACUUCCAAAUGAUACAUACAACACUGAGCUAAUUGGUUGAUGGUUUAACCAAUUUAGGCAUUCAUUUGUCAUUGGCUUGAACAUACUAAGACCAUACUCUUUAUCAUCAUGUAGUCUCUUGUCUAAGUACAUUGAUGGUAUUGUUGGUCCAAUUGUCUUUAUUGGAUAUAUCUUCGACAUCCAAUCAAUUACCUACAUGACAAAUAAUAAACUAUAUUAUAUGAUUCAGUUAAUUCCUUUAAUGUUUUUUACACUAUGGGUGGUUGAGUCAGGAUUUUUCACUAAGGAGAUUCAAAAUAUGAAGAAGUAAACAUACGAAACCGUAGAUCUGGAAUUCAACAUCUACAUAAAAAAGAAUAUGCGGAAGAAUAUUUUACCUCUUUCUCCAACUCAUAAAAGCUAUUGAUUAGGACCCAAUCUACUUUGUCAAGAUUUGAGAAUUGAUUCACCAACAUUUCAAGUAUUCUUUCUCCUUCAGGAUUAAUAACAAAAUUAGGUACAUCUGAUGCCUUAAUUGGACUUGAAAAUCCAGGAAUUAUGAUUUUUUCAUCAUUUUGAGUAGGGGGAAGUUUUAUUACCCCUUUAUGAACAUGGUAAUAAAUGUUAUCCACUACACAAUUUUGUGUAAAAAAUGCAGCACUAAUCAAUCCAAAUUGUUUUGCAACUUCAACAGCCCAAGGGAGGAAUGGAUCAUAUACUAUGCAAUUUACAGGACAUCCACUAAUUGCCAAUUUUUGAAUAAGUUGAGACAGAGUAUCCGAACCAAUUUCUUUGAAUCGUGUAAUAUAGGCCACGAAAGUUCCUGCUUGAUCGCGACCACCAUCAUCAUAGCCAUCAGAUAUGGCCUCAAUUGACAUAGAAGUUGGCAAUUCCUUCAUGUUUUUCAAAAAGGAUUUUGUGAGUGCUAUAGUGAUUUUAACGCGUUUGGAUCGUAAACGUUUGGAGAAUUGAAGCAUUGGGUUGAUAUGACCUUGGACUGGAUAUGGCAAGAUCAAGCAAUGAGCUUUGUGAGUAGUCAUCUCUUGCAACUUCUCAAUUGAUGGCUGAAAUAAAAAAAAAUCAACUUAGUGUUGUAUAUUCUUAUAGUUAGUUGAUUGAGUUGAAGUGUACAAUUUGGAUUAUUGUGUGUUGGCUUCUUCCUCUUCUAUAUUCCAACUUUUUAUUGCCAACAUAUGCAAUGACACAAGACAAUUAUUGGGUAUACAAUGUACUAGUGACAUCUAAAUCUUAUCAAUAAAAAUUAAUGACUAAUAUAAAUGAAUUCACGUAAAAGGGUUAAAAAUAUUCUUAAACUAUAUAAAAUUCAAUAAAAAUAUUCUUAGCUAAUAACUUCAUCUAAAAUACUAUUGUCAUUUUUAAGAUUAAUAACUUUUUUAUGUUUUUUUUUUUUUGUUGACAUUAAAGGGGGGAAACGGAAUGGAUAAAGGUGAAAAAUAGAAUCUUUAAAAUAUUCUUUGAGAUUUGAAGAGAUUUUUGUAUGUCGGGUUUUUUCUUCCUCGUAAAAUUUGGAUUAAAAAAUCAAAAUGGUCAUAUUUUUAUAUACAUAAAGGACUAUUUUAGUAAGCUAAUGUAUAAAUAUAAAAGGACCAAGAAUAUUCAAACCCCAUAUAUCAAGGACCAUUUUGGUUAUUUUCACACUCAUUAAAAGUUUUAGUUUGAUCAAAAGGUUAAUAAAUUAGAAGGUCACUAAUCGGAAAAAAAAAGAUAAUGAAAAAAACUGUUUCCUUCUCUCUUCUUUCUUGUUGAAAAAUCUCUUAAAAUAUCGUAUUUGUUGCCUCUUCAAAAAAAAAUGAUCCAUUAUUAUAAAUAUGAACCGAAUAAAUUAGAUAAAAUACUCCAUUUCUCUUUUUUGAGAUCUCCAUAACUAAGUUUUUUUCAAGUUUUAAACAACUAUUCUCUGGAAAAGGUCUAUUAAUAGGGAAUAGGGACAAACUAGUUAGUCAAUUAGAUAAAAAUCCUUCAAAUUUAAAAAAUAAAAUAAAAUUGAUAAAUGAUAUAAAUUAAGGAUCGUCGUGAGUAACAGAAAAUCAAGUAAAGCAGUCUAGCUAGCUAGAGAAUUGAGCUUCUUAUAAACUCAAAACAAUACCAUUAUAAAAAAAAAAUAUCAAACUUUGGUACUUCAAUCAGAAAAAAGUAAUUACAAAAUACAAAUCUAUUUCUUUAUCAUUUAGGAAAUAGUAACCAACUUGGAAACAAAUUCUUCAAUGUUUUUAUCUGAACUUCCUCCUUCAUUCACAACAUUUCUAGCUAUUUCCUUCCAUUUCUUUGCAUUUUCUCUAAUUAGUUUUCCUUUAUCUUCUUCCAUCACUAGCUUUAUACAUUCUUCUAUAACUUCUCUUCUAACUACCCCUUUUUCAUCUUGUUUGGCUCUAACACCUAUUUCCCAAACAUCUUUCACAAGCUUUGCAUUUGUUGGUUGAUCAGACCAUUGUGGCAUUGCCACCAUUGGCACUCCCAAACUAAUCGCUUCCAGAGUUGAAUUCCAUCCACAGUGCGUCAGAAAACAACCUGUCGAUUCAUGUUCCAACACUUGUAAUUGUGGACACCAUGACACCACUAAGCCUUUUUCACUUGUUAAUUCCUCAAUAAAGUUGUUGGGAAGUUUGGGCUCUUCAGUAGACCUAACAACCCACAAGAAGCUCUUGUUGCUAUUCUUCAAACCCCAUGCCAAUUCUUCCAUUUGCUCAUCUCCUAAUUUGGUUAUACUUCCAAAUGAUACAUACACCACUGAGCUAAUUGGUUGAUGGUUUAACCAAUUUAGACAUUCAUUUGUCAUUGGCUUGAAGACACUAAGACCAUACUCUUUAUCAUCAUGUAGUCUCUUGUCUAAGUACAUUGAUGGUAUUGUUGGUCCAAUUGUCUUUAUUGGAUAUAUCUUUGACAUCCAUUCAAUUACCUACAUGUCAAACAAUAAAAAGUUCAUGUAACCAUUUGAAUAAUUUGUACAAUAACUUAGGUGACUAGAACAGAAAGUCUAAGGCAUUAUACAUAGUUUAAUUCCUUCUAUGUUUUCUAUACUAUCCAUAGCAGAGUCAGAAUUUUCAUUAAGCAGUAUCCAUAGCAGAGUCAGAAUUUUCAUUAAACAGUAUCCAUAGCAGAGUCAGAAUUUUCAUUAAUCAGUAUCCAUAGCAGAGUCAGAAUUUUCAUUAAUCAGAUGAAGAAGUUAAGGGGCUUCAAUAAUACCUCACAUAUGCUUUGUCAGUUCAUUUUUUAUACGCGAAGAAGAAACAGAACGACAUGUUACCUCUUUCUCCAACUCAUAGAAGCUAUUGAUUAGAACACAAUCAACUUUGUCAAGAUUUGAGAAUUGAUUUGCUAACAUUUCAACUAUCCUUUCUGCUUCAGGACUAAUAACAAAAGAAGGUACAUCUGAUGCAUCGAUCGAAUUUGGAAAUCCAGGAAUUAAUAUUUCUUCGUCAUUUUGAGUAGGUGGAAGUUUUAUCACCCCUUUAUGUACAUGGUAAUAAAGAUUAUCCACUACACAAUUUUGUGUGAAAAAUGCAGCACUAAUUAAUCCAAAUUGUUUUGCAACUUCAACAGCCCAAGGAAUGAAUGGAUCAUAUACUAUGCAAUUUACAGGACAAUCACUAUUUUCCAAUUUUUUAAUAAGCUGAGACAGAGUAUCCGAACCAACUUCUUUGAAUCGUGUUAUGUAGGCUACGAAAUUUUCUGCUUGAUGGAAACCACCAUCAUCGUAGCCAUCAGAAAUCGCCUCGAUUGAUACUGAAGUUGACAAUUCUUGCAUUGUUUUCAAACAGGAUUUUGUGAGUGCUAUAGUGAUUUUAACGCGUUUGGAUUGUAAACGUUUGGAGAAUUGAAGCAUUGGGUUGAUAUGACCUUGGCCUGGAAAUGGCAAAAUUAAGCAAUGAGCUUUGUGAGUAUUCAUUUUUUAUUUUUUAUUUUUUGCAACUUCUCAAUGAAUUGAGUUAAUAAUAAUAGAUAGGAUGAGAAAAAUUAUGUGGUUGUUAUAGUUAGGUGAUAGAGUUUGAAGUGUCUUUUUGGCUUAUUUUGUCUAUUAUUGAUACAAAGUUUUUAUUGCAAACAUGUGUAAUAAAUAUGCCAAUAUAUAUUGUUUGAUAUAUUACUUGGAAUCUAGGGAUAUCACUUUUAUUUUGAGGGAUAAAGAAUAACUAAUCUCAAGAUUAAUUUUGAUGAUUAUGUUUGGCUAAUUUUGAAAUAAUUAAUUUCGAGAUAACUCGAUUCCUAACCAACAUGUACAGUGACACAAGUGUUAAGAAGUCCCAUAUCGGUAAAGGAAUGAAAAUUUGAUCUCCUUAUAUGGACUUAGACAAACAUCUCCUUAUAAACUAAUUUUUGAGGUUGAGUUAGACACAGAUAACAAAACUUAAUAAUAAACGAUAUCAUUUAAAAUGUUGUCUAAAAAAAGUGACACAAUUUAUUACUUUACUUGGAAGAUGCCUUUUUGUAGACAUUUACUUUUAAUUACUGAAUUUAAAUAAUAAAAUAUUUUGAUUGUAUCUUAAAUUCAAAUAAUCAUAUAAUUUGCAAUAAAAAUUACGGACCGAUAUAACUGAAUUUAUGUAAAAGGGUUAAAAAUAUUCUUAAAUUAUGUAAAAUUAAAUAAAAAUAUUCUUAACUAAUAACUUGGUUUAAAAUGCUAUUGUCGUCAAUAGUUUAAUUCAAAAAUAUUCUUAUUGUUACUUAAUUAACGAAUUACUUAUCCACCGUCUAGCUCCCCUCUCUCGCUUCCUGUUCCCCAAAAUAUCAAAUAAUAUUAAGAUCAUAAUUACUCACUCUUUAAUAUAAAUGCAUAAUAAUUAUAAUUAACGUGAAAUUUGUGUUGUGUGUCAUUUAAAAAAAUAUAAAAGAAAGGAUACUAGGAAGAUUCAGGUCAAACUUUGGUAAUUCAAUAAGAAAAAGAAAUUACAAAAUACAAAUCCAUUUCUUGAUUAUUUUUAUGGCUCUUAAUUAACUUUUUUAUUACUUAGAGAUAUAUUAACCAACUUAUAGCUUGUUACAUAAAUAGUCUUAGCAAAUGUCAUCAAUCCAUACCAUCAAUAGACACUAUUACAAAUUAUAGCUUGUUACAUAAAUAGACAUAUUAUAGCUUGUUACAUAAACAGUCAAUUUAUAGCUUAUUACAUAAAUAGUCUUAACAAAUGUCAUCAAUCCAUACCAUCAAUAGACACUAUUACGAAUUAUAGCUUGUUACAUAAAUAGCCGAAUAAUAGCUUUAUAGCUUGUUACACUUGUUACAUAAAUAGCCAAAAUAUUUGCUUGUUACAUAAAUAGCCAAUUUUUAGCUUGUUACAUAAAUAGACAAAUUAUAGCUUGUUACAUAAAUAGUCUUAGCAAAUAUCAUCAAUCCAUACCAUCAAUAGACACUAUUACAAAUUAUAGCUUGUUACAUAAAUAGCCAAAUUAGAGCUUGUUACAUAAAUAGCCAAUUUAGAGCUUGUUACAUAAAUAGCCAAAUUUUUAGCUUCUUAUAUAAAUAGCCAAAUUAUAGCUUGUAACAUAAAUAGCCAAAUUAUAGCUUGUUACAUAAAUAGUCUUAGCAAAUGUCAUCAAUCCAUACCAUCAAUAGACACCAUUACAAAUUAUAGCUUGUUACAUAAAUAGCCAAAUUAGAGCUUGUUACAUAAAUAGCCAAUAUAUAGCUUAUUAUAUAAAUAGCCAAUUUUUAGCUUGUUACAUAAAUAGCCAAAUUGUUUUAGCCUUCCACAAUAAUAGGUAAAAGGUAGAAAAUAAAGGAAGAUUCAAGUCAAUAUCCUACUUAGAAGAAAUAGUCAUCAACUUGGAAACAAAUUCUUCAAUGUUUUUAUCUGAACUUCCUCCUUCAUUCACAACAUUUCUAGCUAUUUCCUUCCAUUUCUUUGCAUUUUCUCUAAUUAGUUUUCCUUUAUCUUCUUCCAUCACUAGCUUUAUACAUUCCUCUAUAACUUCUCUUCUAACUACCCCUUUUUCAUCUUGUUUGGCUCUAACACCUAUUUCCCAAACAUCUUUCACAAGCUUUGCAUUUGUUGGUUGAUCUGUCCAUUGUGGCAUUGUCACUAUUGGCACUCCCAAACUAAUUUCUUCCAGUGUCGAAUUCCAUCCACAGUGCGUUAGAAAACAUCCUAUCGACUCAUGUUCCAACACUUGUAAUUGUGGACACCAUGACACCACUAGUCCUUUUUCAAUUGUUAAUUCCUCUAAAAAGUUGUUGGGAAGUUUAGAUUCUUCAUUAGACCUAACAACCCACAAGAAGCUCUUGUUGCUAUUCUUCAAACCCCAUGCCAAUUCUUCCAUUUGCUCACUUCCUAGUUUGGCUAAACUUCCAAAUGAUACAUACAACACUGAGCUAAUUGGUUGAUGGUUUAACCAAUUUAGGCAUUCAUUUGUCAUUGGCUUGAACAUACUAAGCCCAUACUCUUUAUCAUCAUGUAGUCUCUUGUCUAAGUACAUUGAUGGUAUUGUUGGUCCAAUUGUCUUUAUUGGAUAUAUCUUCGACAUCCAAUCAAUUACCUACGUGACAAACAAUUAGCAGAUGCAUACAUAUCUUAUUUUAAUUGAGUUUAAGAGUUCACUUGAUUGAAAAAGAGCAAAAAGAUUCAAAAUACAAACUCAUACAAGUAUAAGAAUUUUCAUCAGACUAUUUCGUUAUAUUUUUAUCAGGUAAUACUUAUCUUUUAAAAUGAAAAAUAGUGACUUACAAACAUAGAAAAAGAACAAAAAGAUGAAGAGUAUUUGUGUUACCUCUUUCUCCAAUUCAUAAAAGCUAUUGAUUAAUACCCAAUCAGUUUUCUCAAGAUUUGAGAAUUAAUUCACCAAUAGUUCAAUUAAUUUAUCUGUUUCAGGACUUGACUCAAAACUAGGUACAUAUGAACUUUCGAUUGUACAUGAUAAUCCAGGAAUUAAUAUUUUUUCAUCACUUUUAGUAGGUGGAAGUUUUAUUACCCCUUUAUGUGCAUGGUAAUAAAUAUUAUCCACUACACAAUUUUGUGUGAAAAAUGCAGCACUAAUUAAUCCAAAUUGUUUUGCAACUUCAACAGCCCAAGGAAGGAAUGGAUCAUAUACUAUGCAAUUUACAUGACAUCCACUUUUUGCCAAUUU
rnacentral:lncRNA from 1 species